ensembl:lncRNA
CAAGCAAAAGUACUAAAAAUUGAUGAGCUAUUCUGAGAUUUCCAAGUGCCAGUGUUCAGAUUCAAGACAUUAAUAAGCUCAAGUCAGUUUAGGGAAAGGCGGCUCAACUCUGAUUCAGACUUCUGUCUUGGGAAGGUUGACUCUCUGCUUUUCAUCUUCUCACAUCUUUUAAAAAGAUAUUUUCUCUCUCUCUUAUACAAGCCUGCUAUUAGUUUAUAUCAAAGCCUUUUCCUUUUCUUUCAAAAUGGAUCUGUUCCAUGAAGAUUUCAGGGGUCUAAAGGAGAAGAGGGGAUAGAGGAUAAGAUGGUUGGAUAGCAUCACUGACUCAAUGAACAUGUGUGUGAGCGAAUUCUGGGAGACGGUGAAGGAACGGGAAGCCUGGCAUGCUACAGUCCACGGGGUCACAAAGCGUCAGACCCCACUGAGCGACUGAACAACAACAAACUUAAGAAUCCCUGAGUCCUGGAAACUGGAGCCGUAGCGUCCAAGUGGAGAGCGUGGAAGAGAAUCUCAGGAGAAUUGAAGAUGGCACUUGUGUGGUCUUGCUGAUGAAGAGCACGACUCCGCUGCAUUCCCAUUUC